rnacentral:rRNA from 1 species
GACGAACGCUGGCGGCGUGCUUAACACAUGCAAGUCGAACGGAAAGGCCCUGCUUGCAGGGUACUCGAGUGGCGAACGGGUGAGUAACACGUGGGUGAUCUGCCCUGCACUUCGGGAUAAGCCUGGGAAACUGGGUCUAAUACCGGAUAGGAGCCAUUUUUAGUGUGAUGGUUGGAUAGUUUUUUCGGUGUAUGAUGAGCUCGCGGCCUAUCAGCUUGUUGGUGGGGUAAUGGCCUACCAAGGCGGCGACGGGUAGCCGGCCUGAGAGGGUGGACGGCCACAUUGGGACUGAGAGACGGCCCAGACUCCUACGGGAGGCAGCAGUGGGGAAUAUUGCACAAUGGGCGCAAGCCUGAUGCAGCGACGCCGCGUGGGGGAUGACGGCCUUCGGGUUGUAAACUCCUUUCGCUAGGGACGAAGCUUUUUGUGACGGUACCUAGAUAAGAAGCACCGGCUAACUACGUG